rnacentral:rRNA from 1 species
CAGCCGCCACGGUAACACGUAGGGUGCAAGCGUUAAUCGGAAUUACUGGGCGUAAAGCGUGCGCAGGCGGUUCGUUAAGACAGAUGUGAAAUCCCCGGGCUUAACCUGGGAACUGCAUUUGUGACUGGCGGGCUAGAGUAUGGCAGAGGGGGGUAGAAUUCCACGUGUAGCAGUGAAAUGCGUAGAGAUGUGGAGGAAUACCGAUGGCGAAGGCAGCCCCCUGGGCCAAUACUGACGCUCAUGCACGAAAGCGUGGGGAGCAAACAGGAUUAGAUACCCGGGUAGUCCCUGUCUCUUAUAC